GCGAGUGAAGCGGCAAAAGCUCAAAUUUGAAAUCUGGCACUUUCAGUGUCCGAGUUGUAAUUUGAAGAAGGUAUCUUUGGGUCUGGCUCUUGUCUAUGUUUCUUGGAACAGAACGUCACAGAGGGUGAGAAUCCCGUGCGAUGAGAUGUCCCAGACCUAUGUAAAGUUCCUUCGAAGAGUCGAGUUGUUUGGGAAUGCAGCUCUAAGUGGGUGGUAAAUUCCAUCUAAAGCUAAAUAUUGGCGAGAGACCGAUAGCGAACAAGUACAGUGAUGGAAAGAUGAAAAGAACUUUGAAAAGAGAGUGAAAAAGUACGUGAAAUUGUUGAAAGGGAAGGGCUUGAGAUCAGACUUGGUAUUUUGUAUGUUACUCUCUCGGGGGUGGCCUCUACAGUUUACCGGGCCAGCAUCAGUUUGGGCGGUAGGACAAUUGCAAAGAAAUGUGGCACUGCCUCGGUAGUGUGUUAUAGUCUUUGUCGAUACUGCCAGCCUAGACUGAGGACUGCGGCUUCGGCCUAGGAUGUUGGCAUAAUGAUCUUAAGUCGCCC
rnacentral:rRNA from 1 species